rnacentral:rRNA from 1 species
AUGAGGAAGGCGGAGCGGAUUAUCUGCCCGGCUCCCAUGCCAGAAAACCCAGUAGAUGCCCAUCUAGCGAGGCUGCUGGUUCCGGCACCGCACGUGGUGCCGGAGAAGAAGGCCAAGAAGGAGGCCACGGGUGCUCGAAAGAGUUCCCGUUUUCAGGUGUUCGACGACUCCGGGGCGGACUCCUCCCCUGAAAACGAGGAGGAGAAAGAGGACUCUCCCCCAGAGGAGGGAGAGAGGAAGAGGAAGGCUUCCCCAACAGGCGAGGCCGAAGGGUCCAAGAGGGGAAGGACUAUUCCCCCGGACAGCUCCGCCAACAUCAACGUUGGCGAGGAAGAAUGGCCUUCAAGGGCCAGGCCUCCGGCGAGAUCGUAA